rnacentral:rRNA from 1 species
GACGAACGCUGGCGGCGUGCCUAAUACAUGCAAGUAGAACGCUGAAGGAGGAGCUUGCUUCUCUGGAUGAGUUGCGAGCGGGUGAGUAACGCGUAGGUAACCUGCCUGGUAGCGGGGGAUAACUAUUGGAAACGAUAGCUAAUACCGCAUAAGAGUAGAUGUUGCAUGACAUUUGCUUAAAAGGUGCAAUUGCAUCACUACCAGAUGGACCUGCGUUGUAUUAGCUAGUUGGUGGGGUAACGGCUCACCAAGGCGACGAUACAUAGCCGACCUGAGAGGGUGAUCGGCCACACUGGGACUGAGACACGGCCCAGACUCCUACGGGAGGCAGCAGUAGGGAAUCUUCGGCAAUGGACGGAAGUCUGACCGAGCAACGCCGCGUGAGUGAAGAAGGUUUUCGGAUCGUAAAGCUCUGUUGUAAGAGAAGAACGAGUGUGAGAGUGGAAAGUUCACACUGUGACG